rnacentral:rRNA from 1 species
CGGGGUGAGUAAUGUCUGGGAAACUGCCUGAUGGAGGGGGAUAACUACUGGAAACGGUAGCUAAUACCGCAUAACGUCGCAAGACCAAAGAGGGGGACCUUCGGGCCUCUUGCCAUCGGAUGUGCCCAGAUGGGAUUAGCUAGUAGGUGGGGUAACGGCUCACCUAGGCGACGAUCCCUAGCUGGUCUGAGAGGAUGACCAGCCACACUGGAACUGAGACACGGUCCUG